GUGGGGAAUCUUGCGCAAUGGGCGAAAGCCUGACGCAGCCAUGCCGCGUGAAUGAUGAAGGUCUUAGGAUUGUAAAAUUCUUUCACCGGGGACGAUAAUGACGGUACCCGGAGAAGAAGCCCCGGCUAACUUCGUGCCAGCAGCCGCGGUAAUACGAAGGGGGCUAGCGUUGCCCGGAAUUACUGGGCGUAAAGGGCGCGUAGGCGGACAGUUUAGUCAGAGGUGAAAGCCCAGGGCUCAACCUUGGAAUUGCCUUUGAUACUGGCGGGCUUGAGUACGGGAGAGGUGAGUGGAAUUCCGGGUGUAGAGGUGAAAUUCGUAGAGAUUCGGAGGAACACCAGUGGCGAAGGCGACGCACUGGCCCGUUACUGACGCUGGGGCGCGAAAGCGUGGGGAGCAAACAGGAUUAGAAACCCCGGUAGUCC
rnacentral:rRNA from 1 species